rnacentral:rRNA from 1 species
GAUGAACGCUGGCGGCGUGCCUAAUACAUGCAAGUCGAGCGAACGGACGAGAAGUUUGCUUUUUUGAUGUUUUCGGCGGACGGGAGAGUAACACGUGUAUACCCCCCCUAUAAGACUGGGAUAACUUCGGGAAACCGGAUCUAAUACCGGAUAAUAUUUUGAACCGCAUUGAUCAAAAGUGAGAGACGGCUUUGCUGUUACUUAUAGAUGGUUCCCGGCGGCAUUAGCUAGUUGGUAAGGUAACGGACUACCAAGGCAACUAUGCAUAGCCGACCGGGGAGGUGGAUCGGCCCCACUGGAACUGGAACCGGGUCCGGACUCCUACGGGAGGCAGCAGUAGGAAACCUUCGGAAUUGGGCGAAAGCCUGACGGAGCAACGCGGCGUGAGUGAUAAAGGUCUCCGGAUCGUAAGCCUCUGUUAUUGGGGAAAAACAGAUGUGUAAUGAACUGUGCACAUCGUGACGGUACCUAAUCAGAAAGCCACGGCUAACUACGUG